UAUCUUGCUGGAGAUCCCUGCCUACUUGAGGUCUUCUGAAACUCCAGUUCACAAGCAAGAUGAAGUUGACAUGAAUUUUGGCUUUGUGAUGGCAGCUUAGCCUUUGUAAACAGGCUGGUAAAUCAGACUCCCAGAACCAUCUCUAGCAGAACAACUAUUUGAGUUAUUUCUGGAUGUCUCUGAAAAGUAUAGCACAGGAUUUAGGUCACAAGAUAAAUACAAUUAAAAUUCCUCCAGAUGAGAUGUUAUUUGAGCAUCAUCAGAACAGGAUCCUGGAUAGUUGAUUCUUUUUGAUGAAUAGUCCUAUGGAGAAAAGAAGAUAAUUCAUAACAGGAUUGCAAUACGACAGGUGAUGAAAGGAAAAUCCUUGAUGAAGAGGAAGAAGUGGAUUUUUGAAUCUCUGAUGGAUGUAGGAUGCCUACUUUUGAUCUGCUGUCUUGGCUAUAUGCACCAUUGCCCUCUACUGGCCAGGAGCAGAGCUAUGAUGGGUCCUUCCUGAGGCAAAGCAUCUCACCUUCCAGAAGCUACUUCAGCUCUGUGAAAAUAACAGCCACACCAAGAUGCCUUCUUUACUCUCAGAAUGGAGCCAGGGAUUUGCAGUAGCACUAAGUUAAGGACAGCUGCCCCUCUACAAGUCUGUACUUCCCACUUGGAUACCCUCUUCAUGGUGCCAUUGUUUAUUAUCCGAAGUGUGCUUGAACUAUAUAUUUUUAAAAAGUGGUUUUAUGUUGCCAUAUUUCUAGGCAAUUUUUUACUGUAAAAACAGAGAAAUGCUUAAUCUGCUGGAAAAACAGCACGAUGAGCUGUAGGCAAUCCAGGAGGUUCCUGGAAGGCAUCAAGAAUAACUUAUUAAGCCAAACAAUAGACAGCCCCACCAGGAAGGAUGCAAUACCUGUUGCUUAUCAAUGCAAGUGAGUUGGUUAGUGACGUCAUUGGAAGUUGUCUGUGCUGUAGUGCUCAUGCUGUGAUGAAGCUCACGCUCCCAAGGGAUAUGGGACAGUUAAAGAGUAAAAUUAGAGUGCUAGCUUUUAGAAAAGACAAACUCCAGCUUUUCAGGGUCAACAGAACUCCUUGGGAAAUAAGGACAAGGGAGUAGAGUGCAGAUGGCUUAAGGAAGCUUUCCUCAGGGCACGAGAGGUCUCCAUCACCAGGUGUAGGAAGUCAGGAAAGGAAGGCAAGAAGACUGACAUGGCUGAACCAGAACCUGCUUGCCAAACUGGAGAGCAAGAAGAAAAUGCACAGCAGUGGACAUGGGGACAGGUAACCUGGGAGGAGUGUAUGAAUGCUACUAAGCUGAGUAGGGAUAGAGUCAGAAAGGCCAAGGCCCAGCUGAAACUAGACUUGAUAAGGGUGCAAAGAAGAACAGGAAAGGCUUCUAGGGGUAUGUCAACCAGAAGAGUAAAGUUCAAAGUGUUUCCCCCCUCUGCCUAGUGAGCAAUACAGGCAGGCUGGUAACAAAGGUAACAAGGAAAAGGCUAAGGUAUUCAACUCCUUUGCCUCUGCUCUUCAUGCAUUCCACUGAGAGGAUGUUCAGAAAUCGAGGGCUGUAGGAGCAUGUCCCUCCUAGUGUAUGUGAAGAUCAGGCUCACAACUAUAUGAGGAACCUGAACAUCCAGGAGUCUAUAGAUCCUGACAAAAAGUGUCCUAGAGUCCUGAGGGAAACAGCUACUGUAGUCACCAAGACACUCUCAGUGGUAUAUGGGAAGUCCUGGCAGCCAGGUGAAGUCCCUGGUGACUGGAAAAAAGGAAACGUCUCAUCCAUUUUUAAGAAGGGUAAAAAGGAUGACCUGGCUUCACCUGUGUGCCAGAAAAGAUUGUGGAACAGAUCCUCCUGGAAGCUAUGCUAAGGACAGGCUCUAAGUAACUUGAUGUAGCUGUAGAAGUUUAUUACAGGGUAGCUGGAUUAGAUAACAUUUAAAGGUCCCUUCCCACUCAAACCAUUCUUUGAUUCUAUGCUUAUACAGUUAUCUUCUGGCUGAUCAGCAGUAAUACAUUAAAUCACACUGAAAAAUUACGGUCAGUUUCUGAACAUUAUUUUCCUUUUUUUUUUUUUUUUUUUUUUUUUAGUAGCACUGCAUUGACUUUGAGGAGCCUAUAGUUUCUCUUAAGUUUGCUGUUUUGCUGUGCAGUGCUUCAGCAAAUAUCAUCUUACCACUACAGCAAUGGAUUCUGAGAAAUAAUCCUUUCAACUUUUCUGUCAGUGACACUUAAACGCAAAAAAAAUGAAAACAAGAAGAAAAAGUUUGUCUCCUUUCCUACUUGCUCUGUUUGAAAUCUUUCACUAAGCCUUCUGAAAGCCAUUCAGAUGUAUUUAUUUGUGUGUCUUGUGGAUGCAGGAGUUGUUUCCAGAUUGGUCAUAGUUUGGUUCUAUCACCUCCCUUUAUUUUCCCAUGUUUGCAGUGUCCUGCCGUGUUAAGGAAGAAGUUGUGCUGAUACAAAAAAAGAUUUUUUUUUUAUGUUUUUCUUGCAGUGGAUAUUUUCCUACAUGAGUUAAUUUCUACCUAGUGAAUCUUCUGAGUCAUCUAAAUCAGAGGAUACGAGCCUUUUCCUUGCUGAGGGCCAAGCAGACUUUUCACACACCUUUUGCAGACCACACAGAUCAAUGUUAUUUUAUAAUUUGUGAGGAAAAAGCAAUUUCUUCAAGACAUAUGGAAUACAGUUGCUGGCUAAUUCUGCUAGUGGCUUCUCACAUAUUUUCUACGUGACCUUCUUUGCAUGUUGGGCCUCCUUGAUACACCACUGAUACACUUCCUUGAAGAAUGACUUCUCAAGGCUUUAUUAUGGGAAAUACCCCAAGUAAGCAUUCCAGGUCUGGAACAAUUCACAAGGAAUAGCUCUGAAAUUACUUGCAAAGAGUAGCUCAUCUCUGGCUAGGUGUUUAUUUAGCCUAAAAAGAUACCUGCUGAAGUGAGAAUGAUUACAUGUAAUUUCUUCUACCAGCUCCUGCUGCUUCCUGCUGCAUUCACUAAGGAGAUGCUGGGCAGCAGCUCUCAUGGAUAUCUGCCACUGGAUGCAGUGCCACAAAAGCAGCCGUAUUUGUGGAAUCCAUGACAGCUGAGAGUGUGUGAAGUCUCAGGCUUGUAGUCUGCAGGUCUUGCAGCAGGGGCCAACAGUCAAUGGAGUAUUCUGUACGCGCAUCCCUGUAUCAUCUCAGAGUUCUCACCAGGAAGAGUAUUCAUAUAUUCAUAUUGGGAGCAUUUUCUUAAAGGUAUCUUAUGGACAGCUAACUCUACCUCUGCUCUUUCCAAACUCCCUCCCGUACUCAUGUUCUCUUCCAUACACUGCAGGUUUUCUUUGUAUCAGAGAGAUCUUCCCACAGCUCGUGAUAUGCCUUUGAUCUCUUGGCAGUAUUUGUUGACAAGGAUGGAUUGGAUACAGCGAACGAUCGCAGUAAGCAUGUGAAAACAUACCUAAAACUUAACUUGAUCCUACAUUAAUUGAGAGUAGAUCUCAAGGCUUUUCUCUUGUGGAUUUUAGGACUUCAUAUUCACUUGCAUGCUGUCACUUAAUGAGACUAUAGCACAAACUUGUGAAAAGCCACACUUAUCAAGUAAUGUCACUUGCCGGGGUUUCUACAUGGUUGGAGUUUCCCAGAAUAUAUCCUCUUUUUCUGCCUGGAAAUGU